UCCCGCAAUCCAUAAGAAGAACCGCUCAGCUGAUGUCUUCCACGUGCCAGUCAUAAGGAAGAGAACAUCGGCAUGUGCGGCCGUAGCUUUCAUGCGAAAUAGAUCAAAAUAGUGGUUCAAGCAACUCUCGACAAGAAGGUGCAAUUCAAUUUCACCAACUUGAGAAUUCAAAGCACUCCUUAAUUCAUCUGUUUGUCUAUCUUGCUCUUCCACCCAAAAGAUAUACUCCAUUUCAAAAGCAGCCUCAACAAGGAGGUGCAAUUCAAUUUCACCAACUUGAGAAUUCAAAGCACUUCUUAAUUCAUCUGUUUGUCUAUCUUGCUCUUCCACCCAAUGGCCAUACUCCAUUUCAAAAGCAGCAAUUCCUGCGGACUCGACAAGUUAGGAAAAAGUUCAAAUAACAAUAUGAAUAAAGAGAAAGAAGAAAAGAAAGUGAAAUAAGUUGACAACUUGAAUGGUUGCACUGAAUGUUUCUACAACAGGAAAUCCCAGAUAAAUACCAAAGAAUAUUUAUCAAUAGGAAGUGUAGUUUAAAAAAGCUGUAAUUCCUAGGGAUGAAGCAAAUAACUUCUUAAUUCAUUGAAUGUAUAUUUUUGGAAAGAAAACUCCUUAAUAUGAUAGUUUCCAUAGUUCAGACGUCACAUUUUAAUUUCCAAUAGAAUAAUCCUUUCAAUUAGUUUUAUCCAGUUAAUGACGUCUUAAAUAGCCAUCUAAUAUAUUACCUUCAUGCGAGUUAUUGAUAAAUUGUUGAUCAAACUAGUUAGAAGAGAGAGCUUAGCAGCAAAUAGUGACCAAAGCUUAUUUCAAAUUGUAUUCAACAAUAAAACCAAAAUAGAUGGUCCAGACAUGUUAAGAGGAGAGACGCAGAAGCACCAGUGACGAGGUGUGAGCGGUUGGCCUGGGGGCCUAUGGAGAAAUAGAGGUAGGCCGAAUAAGUAUUGGAGAGAGAUGAUUAGGCGAGAUAUGAUGUUGCUCCAGCUCACUAAGAACAUGACCAGGGAUAGGAAGGUGUGGAGGUUGAGAAUAAAGGUAAAGGGUUAGAAUAGGUCGCCUAGUGUUGUCCUUGUGUAUAAUAGUAGCUUUAGUACAUGAAUUAGUGUUAAUUAUGUAUUUCGUAUUUCUUGAUUUAUGUGAUUACUUGUCGUUGCUUUCGUUUCGGCCUUCUGAUUGCAAUACUAAAUUUUAGUUUUGUAUCUUUAUAUUUUUUUUUCUUCGGUUUUAGAAUUAGUGUGAUUGCUGCUGCCCUUCCUUUUAUCUUUCCUAAGCUGAGUGUCUUUCGGAAACAACCUCUCUGCCUUCUUGAAGGUAGGCGGUCAGCAUACAUACUACCCUCUCCAGAGCCCCACUAGUGGGAUUACACUGGGUUUGUUGUUGUUGUAAUAACAACAAAUAGAGCUCUUGUCUACAAUCCUUGUUGAACAGAACUUUGCAAAAUCAAAUCAACAAUUCCAUUUACAAAAUUUAGGAAAUCAAAAUCACUAAAUCCACUUCAAACAUAUCAAUCUACUUACUAUAAUUGAUAAUCAGAUACACUGAGCAAUGAUUCCAGACGAACUCUAUUAUAUCAUUCCAAAGCACAAUUCUUGUUAUUCAUAUACUCAGGCAUACCGCAUAUGCAAAUAGUUCUGCACAUGAACUUCUUUAAG
rnacentral:lncRNA from 1 species